CCUACGGGAGGCAGCAGUGGGGAAUAUUGGACAAUGGGGGAAACCCUGAUCCAGCGACGCCGCGUGAGUGAAGAAGUAUUUCGGUACGUAAAGCUCUAUCAGCAGGAAAGAAAAUGACGUUACCUGACUAAGAAGCCCCGGCUAACUACGUGCCAGCAGCCGCGGUAAUACGUAGGGGGCAAGCGUUAUCCGGAUUUACUGGGUGUAAAGGGAGCGUAGACGGCAGCGCAAGUCUGGAGUGAAAUGCCGGGGCUCAACCCCGGAACUGCUCUGGAAACUGUGAAGCUGGAGUGCAGGGGAGGUAGGCGGAAUUCCUGGUGUAGCGAUGAAAUGCGUAGAUAUCAGGAGGAACACCGACGGCGAAGGCAGCUUACUGGACUGUAACUGACGUUGAGGCUCGAAGGCGUGGGGAGCAAACAGGAUUAGAUACCCUAGUAGUC
rnacentral:rRNA from 1 species